rnacentral:rRNA from 1 species
GUACCGCGGCUGCUGGCACGGAGUUAGCCGGGGCUUCUUCUGCUGGUACCGUCAUUAUCUUCCCAGCUGAAAGAGCUUUACAACCCUAAGGCCUUCAUCGCUCACGCGGCAUGGCUAGAUCAGGGUUUCCCCCAUUGUCUAAGAUUCCCCACUGCUGCCUCCCGUAGGAGUCUGGGCCGUGUCUCAGUCCCAGUGUGGCUGAUCAUCCUCUCAAACCAGCUAUGGAUCGUCGGCUUGGUGAGCCGUUACCUCACCAACUACCUAAUCCAACGCGGGCCGAUCCUUUGCCGAUAAAUCUUUCCCCCGAAGGGCACAUACGGUAUUACUCCCAGUUUCCCGAGGCUAUUCCGUAGCAAAGGGCACGUUCCCACGCGUUACUCACCCGUCCGCCGCUAGACCCGAAGAUCUCGCUCGACUUGCAUGUGUUAGGCCUGCCGCCAGCGUUCGUUCUGAGCCAUGAUCAAACUC